UAAUAAAAUUUUAUUGAGAACCAGUAAGUCAAAUCCUUUACAGAACAUAGAAAUACACAUGAUCCUAGCCCUUCCCUAUAAAUGACAACAUAACUUUGGGGUGGGUUCCCUGACUAUUCCAAAUACUUUGUUGUAUAGCUGAAGGAGAGAAACCAUUCCUCUAGAGCUCAACAGUCCAGGAAAGAAAGAAAUCAGAUGCUUUCACCUGUUUAGGGAAAGCAGAAAUGGAAUCAGAAUUCAUACGAAUAAUAACGGACUAAAGAAUUUUGGAGCCAGUGGAGUGUAUAAGUAAAUACUCACUCUUCAUAUUUUGUAUUUGAAAAUCAGUUAACCAAAGGCAGGAAAUCUUAAGAUCAGACACAAAUUAACCUGAGAACAUAGGAGCAGAGUGUGCCUCUCAAUUCAGUUAUUUAGGGAAGUGGUAAGAAGGAGAGAAAAUAGCCUUAUACUUACGUUUUUCUAAAACUUUACCUCCCAUGAAGGCCUUUGAUGCCAAAUAAUUGGAACUGACAUCAAAGAUGGAAAAAAAGAGCCAAGUGACUGGAAGGAUUAGAGACUGAUAACCAAGAUAAGACUAAAGCCCAGUCAGACUAUGGAAAUGGUCACAAUGAUGCCAACAGAUUUCACAUGAUGAAAAGUUAACUACUACACAAACAGAAACAUGACAGGAUAAAUGAACACUGCUGAACAAGCUUUGAAGGUUUUACUGUCUAGUCUUUACAUGGAGAUAAGAGGUGUUAUUGAGUUUCUGGGGAAGCAAUUUUUAAGGUUUUUUUUUUUUUUUAACAAAAAGAAAAAUAACUGAGGGAAAAAUGAACGGAAAUAGAACUGAAACAAUAGUGUCACUUCCUUUCAAAACCAAGAAAGCUAGUGUAAAGGUUUCUUUCAGUCACUACCAUGGUCUUGGAGUAUUUGGAUUUUGCUCUGUAGCCUUUACCUGAAUUUAAAAUCCUACUGAAACUUUCUUAGCUCUUAAGCUUAAAUGAUAGCAAAAACAUAAAUUUCUGCCAGUUUAUUAACAGCCUUAAAUUUUUUUUU